GAUGAACGCUGGCGGCGUGCUUAACACAUGCAAGUCGAGCGAGAAGUUUUGAAAAGAUUCUUCGGAUGAAAUUUAAAAUGGAAAGCGGCGGACGGGUGAGUAACGCGUAGGCAACCUGCCCCAUACAAAGGGAUAGCAUUUGGAAACGAAUAUUAAUACCUUAUGAAACUUAACUAGUGCAUGCUAGGUAGGUCAAAGAUUUAUCGGUAUGGGAUGGGCCUGCGUCUGAUUAGCUAGUUGGUGAGGUAACGGCUCACCAAGGCGACGAUCAGUAGCCGACCUGAGAGGGUGAACGGCCACAUUGGAACUGAGACACGGUCCAAACUCCUACGGGAGGCAGCAGUGGGGAAUAUUGCACAAUGGAGGAAACCCUGAUGCAGCAACGCCGCGUGAACGAUGAAGGCCUUUGGGUCGUAAAGUUCUGUUCUAGGUGAUGAAAACUGACAGUAACCUAGGAGAAAGCCCCGGCUAACUCCGUG
rnacentral:rRNA from 1 species